UGCCAGCAGCCGCGGUAAUACGGAGGAUGCAAGUGUUAUCCGGAAUCAUUGGGUGUAAAGGGUUCGUAGGCGGUAAAACAAGUUGAAUAUUAAAGGCUGAGGCUCAACCUCAUGCACGUGUUCAAAACUGUUAUGCUAGAAUUAGGGAGAGGUAAGCGGAAUUCUGUGUGUAGGGGUGCAAUCCGUAGAUACACAGAGGAACACCAAAAGCGAAGGCAGCUUACUGGAACUAUAUUGACGCUGAGGAACGAAAGCGUGGGUAGCGAAAAGGAUUAGAUA
rnacentral:rRNA from 1 species